UUGAACGCUGGCGGCAUGCCUUACACAUGCAAGUCGAACGGCAGCACGGGGGCAACCCUGGUGGCGAGUGGCGAACGGGUGAGUAAUACAUCGGAACGUGCCCUGAAGUGGGGGAUAACGUAGCGAAAGUUACGCUAAUACCGCAUAUUCUGUGAGCAGGAAAGCAGGGGAUCGCAAGACCUCGCGCGAUUGGAGUGGCCGAUAUCUGAUUAGCUAGAUGGUGGGGUAAAGGCUCACCAUGGCGACGAUCAGUAGCUGGUCUGAGAGGAUGAUCAGCCACACUGGGACUGAGACACGGCCCAGACUCCGACGGGAGGCAGCAGUGGGGAAUUUUGGACAAUGGGCGCAAGCCUGAUCCAGCCAUUCCGCGUGAGUGAAGAAGGCCUUCGGGUUGUAAAGCUCUUUCGGCAGGAACGAAACGGUGGGAUCUAAUACAUACCACUAAUGACGGUACCUGAAGAAGAAGCACCGGCUAACUACGU
rnacentral:rRNA from 1 species